UUAAUUAAUGCAUUUACCAAAUUUGCAUGUUGCUAACAUAUGCAAAUUAGGAAAUGCAUUAAUUAA